GACGAACGCUGUUUGCGUGCUUAACACAUGCAAGUCGAACGGAAAGGCCCUGCUUUUGUGGGGUGCUCGAGUGGCGAACGGGUGAGUAACACGUGAGUAACCUGCCCUUGACUUUGGGAUAACUUCAGGAAACUGGGGCUAAUACCGGAUAGGAGCUCCUGCUGCAUGGUGGGGGUUGGAAAGUUUCGGCGGUUGGGGAUGGACUCGCGGCUUAUCAGCUUGUUGGUGGGGUAGUGGCUUACCAAGGCUUUGACGGGUAGCCGGCCUGAGAGGGUGACCGGCCACAUUGGGACUGAGAUACGGCCCAGACUCCUACGGGAGGCAGCAGUGGGGAAUAUUGCACAAUGGGCGGAAGCCUGAUGCAGCAACGCCGCGUGCGGGAUGACGGCCUUCGGGUUGUAAACCGCUUUCGCCUGUGACGAAGCGUGAGUGACGGUAAUGGGUAAAGAAGCACCGGCUAACUACGUGCCAGCAGCCGCGGUGAUACGUAGGGUGCGAGCGUUGUCCGGAUUUAUUGGGCGUAAAGGGCUCGUAGGUGGUUGAUCGCGUCGGAAGUGUAAUCUUGGGGCUUAACCCUGAGCGUGCUUUCGAUACGGGUUGACUUGAGGAAGGUAGGGGAGAAUGGAAUUCCUGGUGGAGCGGUGGAAUGCGCAGAUAUCAGGAGGAACACCAGUGGCGAAGGCGGUUCUCUGGGCCUUUCCUGACGCUGAGGAGCGAAAGCGUGGGGAGCGAACAGGCUUAGAUACCCUGGUAGUCCACGCUGUAAACGGUGGGUACUAGGUGUGGGGUCCAUUCCACGGGUUCCGUGCCGUAGCUAACGCUUUAAGUACCCCGCCUGGGGAGUACGGCCGCAAGGCUAAAACUCAAAGGAAUUGACGGGGCCCCGCACAAGCGGCGGAGCAUGCGGAUUAAUUCGAUGCAACGCGUAGAACCUUACCUGGGUUUGACAUGGAUCGGGAGUGCUCAGAGAUGGGUGUGCCUCUUUUGGGGUCGGUUCACAGGUGGUGCAUGCCUGUCGUCAGCUCGUGUCGUGAGAUGUUGGGUUAAGUCCCGCAACGAGCGCAACCCUUGUUCACUGUUGCCAGCACGUUAUGGUGGGGACUCAGUGGAGACCGCCGGGGUCAACUCGGAGGAAGGUGGGGAUGACGUCAAGUCAUCAUGCCCCUUAUGUCCAGGGCUUCACGCAUGCUACAAUGGCUGGUACAGAGAGUGGCGAGCCUGUGAGGGUGAGCGAAUCUCGGAAAGCCGGUCUCAGUUCGGAUUGGGGUCUGCAACUCGACCUCAUGAAGUCGGAGUCGCUAGUAAUCGCAGAUCAGCAACGCUGCGGUGAAUACGUUCCCGGGGCU
rnacentral:rRNA from 1 species